AUGCCUCUCCUUAAUGUCAAUAUGCCUUGUCCAUUGCUGUUCUGGUUAGUGUUUAUUGGCUUAUUUCACUGUAGAGCCUCUAAUCCUGCUCACUAUACCUUAUCCAACCUAUUAGUUCCACCACCCACACAUGCGAUGACAUCUCCUGGUUUCAAUGAUGUUUCUAGAGACAAUAUCUCUCUCUUCAUCACUCAAUACCUAGGUUUACCUCCACUGUUUUCACAUCCUACCAUACCUUUGUCUGUACAUUAUACCUUGAAGCUAUUUUAUCGCCUUCAGAAACCUCCUUUUACUCUCUGUUCCAGACGUUCUAGACAACCAAUUCUUAUUGCUUUUAGCCGUACCCUUAUCCUACUACUCCUCUGUUCCUCUGGCGAUGUAGAGGUGAAUCCAGGCCCUGCAGUGCCUAGCUCCACUCCUAUUCCCCAGGCGCUCUCUUUUGAUGACUUCUGUAACCGUAAAAGCCUCGGUUUCAUGCAUGUUAACAUUAGAAGCCUCCUCCCUAAGUUUGUUCUAUUCACUGCUUUAGUACACUCUGCCAACCUAGUUCUAGCUGUGUCUGAAUCCUGGCUUAGGAAGACCACCAAAAAUUCUGAAAUGUUCAUCCCAAACUACAACAUUUUCAGACAAGAUAGAACUGCCAAAGGGGGCGGUGUUGCAAUCUACUGCAAAGAAAGCAUGCAGAGUUCUGUCCUACUAUCCAGGUCUGUACCUAAACAAUUUGAACUUCUACUUUUAAAAAUCCACCUCUCUAAAAACAAGUCUCUCACCGUUGCCGCCUGCUAUAGACCACCCUCUGCCACCAGCUGUGCUCUGGACACCAUAUGUGAACUGAUUGGCCCCCAUUUAUCUUCAGAGCUCGUGCUGCUAGGCGACCUAAACUGGAAAAUGCUUAACACCCCAUCCAUCCUAAAAUCUAAGCUUGAUGCCCUCAAUCUCACACAAAUUAUCAAUGAACCUACGAGGUACCUCCCCAAAGCCUUAAAACACGGGCACCCUCAUAGAUAUCAUCCUAACCAACUCGCCCUCUAA
rnacentral:lncRNA from 1 species